rnacentral:rRNA from 1 species
GGUGGACGCUAGCGGCAGGCCUAACACAUGCAAGUCGAGGGAGAAGCCCUUUCGGGGGCAGAAACCGGCGCACGGGUGCGUAACGCGUAUGCAACCUACCUUUCACAGGGGGAUAGCCCGAAGAAAUUUGGAUUAAUACCCCAUAAUAUUAUUGGAUGGCAUCAUUUGAUAAUUAAAACUGCGGUGGUGAAAGAUGGGCAUGCGUCCUAUUAGCUAGUUGGAGUGGUAACGGCACCCCAAGGCUACGAUAGGUAGGGGUCCUGAGAGGGAGAUCCCCCACACUGGUACUGAGACAGGGACCAGACUCCUACGGGAGGCAGCAGUGAGGAAUAUUGGUCAAUGGUCGGAAGACUGAACCAGCCAUGCCGCGUGCAGGAAGAAUGCCUUAUGGGUUGUAAACUGCUUUUAUAUGGGAAGAAUAAGGCGUACGUGUACGUUGAUGACGGUACCAUAUGAAUAAGCAUCGGCUAACUCCGUG